CUUACGUACCUCGUCUGCCAGGAGGAACUUGCUAAAUUCUAGAUGAUGCCUCUCCAGGACGGAUGAGCCGUGAAGCUUGGCAAGUGGGUUACCAGAUCUAUUCGUGAGGGGAGAUCAGACCAGACACUGUAAAGAGCUCAUCAUAAGCCAUUCAUCACACAAAGCUAAUCAAGGUGCUUCUCUACAUGCAAGGCCUCAGUCAUGAUGAGAGAGGCCCCAAACACAAGAGAUUCCAAAUCCUUAACGGACAACCACAAAACACGGAAUUCUACACACUGCUCAUCCUCACUAAGACAGCUUGAAAUCUUCAACGCUGGCUCUGCUCAUUGUCCUGAUGGCCUGCGAGGAACACGCCUGGUCUGCCUCCUGCGUGGUAGACAGCUUCACAGUCAAGGCGGACUUCGACCCCCGGAGGUAUUCUGGGAAGUGAUACGCUCUUCAGAAGAAGGACCCUGCGGGCCUGUUCCAUCCAGGACAACAUCUCUGCUGAGUACACCGUCGAUGAUGGCGGCACAAUGACCGCCACCUCCAAGGGACGUGUCACUCUCUUCGGGGACUGGCUAGCUACCUGGCCAGUGGAGGUGACAACUACUGGAUGAUUGACACCGACUAUGAUACCUACGCCUGCCGUACCCUGAAGGACGAUGGACGCUGCGAGGAUGGUUACUCCCUGAUCUUCUCCCGUAACCCCUGUGGCCUGUCCCCAGUAAUCCAGCACAUUGUCCAUGGGAAACAGGAGGAGAUCUGCAUGGCUGGCCUGUUCGAGCCUGUCCUACACUCCGGAGCUUGCUAAAUUGUCAGCUCAGCCUGAACCGGAUUCCUUAAGCAUUCUGGCAUGAGAUGAGGCAUCCAGGGCCGAUAGAUAGGUCCAUAGCAGCGCUGUAGAAAUGAAUAGACCAUGUUGCAAGGCGGGAGAGAAAGGUCUGCCACCCAUUGUCUCAAGGGAAGGGCUGCUCAAUCGGAUGGUCCCACUCACCAGUCCCACAGAUGCCAGAUUGCUGAUGAAGGCUUCUCUUCACAGAACCUCUUUGUAAGAGCCAUGGUUAAUAAUAUAAGUGGAUUAAGCUGCUCAGUUGUUAUCCACUAGUCUUGGCUGUGAACUGUGAAUAAUGGCAGAGAAUCCACUGGUCAGGGUCCAGCUAGGUCCAGACUAGGUGAGGUUAGGAAGUCUCUCACCCACACCAGCUUAACUCCUCAAUUCCUCAAGUCUCAACUCCUGAACCAUGCAACCACAGAGAUCCUAUUAAAUGAUCAUUUUAGUGUUCUAAUACAGUAUGUAAUUCUAUGUGAGAUCCCUAAGCCUUUAUCCGGAAAGUCCCCAGGUUUAAUGAGAAUAUGGUCAACAGACAAUGUGCCCUUGACUAUUAACAGAUUAGCUGAGUUGUAGUUUUGCAAUAGGCUAAUCAAGCUAGUUAUUCAGGAAUUGUUUGCUAGAUAUAUUUUCUCGACAGAGAAUGUAAUCCUGAGAAUGUAAAACAUUUAAUUUACCAGUACAGUCCUCUCUCUCCUGAACUCU